AUGGUAGCCAUUCCUAUUCAUUUUCUUGCUAAUUUAAUCCAACUCAUGGUUAAGCUAACCGUUCGUUUUUUGUUCAGAGCUAACCAAAAUUUGGCAAGCCGAAUAUCUGGCAUUUUUUUUGAGAGAGAAUCUGUUUUUGAUGGCAAGCCGAAUAUCUGGCAAAAGUUUGGGCUAAAACAGCGUUCCGAGGCCCAUGAGCUUAAUGAAAUAGCGCAAACGAUCCUUCAGCCCAAUCCCGGUCCGACUCUGACACGCUUCCACUCCAUUAAAAAGCCCGCUGUUCCUAAACCCAAUCCCGAAUUCCCCAAAGUCCCCGAGACAAAUCGCCCUCGCGUUAGGUUAGGCCGAGGCGAGUAG
rnacentral:rRNA from 1 species